rnacentral:ncRNA from 1 species
UAAAAUGUUAUGAUCUAGGCUAGUAGGUUCUGCUUUUAUCUUAGAGAGUCGGUGCUAAUUGAGAUCCGACAUAAAAGUAGAAUUGAAUCCACCUAGGGAGCAGCUAGUGAAUUAAGCUAUGCCGGUUUGGACACCGUUAUAUGUCCUGAUGAAAGUGAGAAAUUAGGGUGGCAACGCGGAGAAGAUAAGUCUCCCGCCCCUAGU